AUUGAACGCUGGCGGCAGGCCUAACACAUGCAAGUCGAGCGAGCGGCGGACGGGUGAGUAAUGUCUGGGAAUCUGCCUGAUGGAGGGGGAUAACUACUGGAAACGGUAGCUAAUACCGCAUACCAUCAGAUGUGCCCAGAUGGGAUUAGCUAGUAGGUGGGGUAAGGGCUCACCUAGGCGACGAUCCCGAGCUGGUCUGAGAGGAUGACCAGCCACACUGGAACUGAGACACGGCCCAGACUCCUACGGGAGGCAGCAGUGGGGAAUAUUGCACAAUGGGCGCAAGCCUGAUGCAGCCAUGCCGCGUGUGUGAAGAAGGCCUUCGGGUUGUAAAGCACUUUCAGCGAGGAGGCGUUACUCGCAGAAGAAGCACCGGCUAACUCCGUGCCAGCCGCCGCGGUAAUUC
rnacentral:rRNA from 1 species